UGGUUCAGGACGAACGCUGGCGGCGUGCUUAACACAUGCAAGUCGAACGAGAAGAGAUGAGAAGCUUGCUUCUUAUUGAUUUGAGUGGCAAACGGGUGAGUAACGCGUAAGCAACCUGCCCUUCAGAUGGGGACAACAGCUGGAAACGGCUGCUAAUACCGAAUACGUUCUUUUUUGUCGCAUGGCAGAGGGAAGAAAGGGAGGCUCUUCGGAGCUUCCGCUGAAGGAGGGGCUUGCGUCUGAUUAGCUAGUUGGAGGGGUAACGGCCCACCAAGGCGACGAUCAGUAGCCGGUCUGAGAGGAUGAACGGCCACAUUGGGACUGAGACACGGCCCAGACUCCUACGGGAGGCAGCAGUGGGGAAUCUUCCGCAAUGGACGAAAGUCUGACGGAGCAACGCCGCGUGAACGAUGACGGCCUUCGGGUUGUAAAGUUCUGUUAUACGGGACGAAUGGCGUAGCGGUCAAUACCCGUUACGAGUGACGGUACCGUAAGAGAAAGCCACGGCUAACUACGUG
rnacentral:rRNA from 1 species